AGAAGCGGUUCGGGUUGUCGCGGUUCAUUGAAUCGAGGAAAGUCCGAACUCCGCAGGGCAUGGCGCUGGGUAACGCCCAGGAGGGGAGACCCUACAGAAAGUGCAACAGAGAGAAAACCGCCGAUGGCCUCUGGAAACAGGGGCACAGGCAAGGGUGAAAGGGUGCGGUAAGAGCGCACCGGCAGGUCUGGUGACAGGCCUGGCCAGGUAAACCUCGCCAGGAGCAAGACCGCAUAGGAGGAUUUGAGGCUGCCCGCUGAUCCUCGGGUUGGUCGCUUGAGGCGUUCGGUAACGGGCGUCCCAGAUGGAUGACAAUCACCGGAAUUCGUUCCGGGACAGAAUUCGGCUUAUGAACCGGAUCUCCUU
rnacentral:RNase_P_RNA from 1 species